GACGAGGACAAGGCUUUAGUCCAUACUAACGCAUUUUACUUCGUACUAACCGAGGAGUAUGAGUACAUAUGCUAUAACAGGACACUGUCGAUGUACGCUAGUGGAGGAUGCAAGCAUCGAGAACAACAGAUGCACAUUGUAGCUUAGUUAUGGUAGAGACCAAUAAAAGAUCGCACUGUCCAAGCCAAUAGAAUAUGCUGACCUCAGGAAUACGCGACACAAUACUCGGGAAUAGGUCAGGAUGAUGCCAUAUAAAAGUAUGGUGUGGCUCUGGUUUCUCGACAGAUAUAGGAGGUUUAAAGCACCAUCGCUCAUCUCGUGCUGACAUAUUCCAACUCGUCGCAUCGGUCUAUGAACAUCGGCAACGACCAAAAAAGGACGCCUCUCUACUCGCUUGCCAUCUAGCCAGCAGCACGCCGACCUCCGACACACAUUCUGUGGAUCACUGCGCUAUCACGGCCGCAGCCCUUGCAGGAUACUCGUGCCACGGCCUGAGAAAGAGCUUGGACAACCCGGAUUUCGCUCUCGUGUGGAGAAGUGACAGAACGCCUGCGCCGAAGCGCUGGACUGGCGGAUUGGUGUGUCGUCUUCCUCGGUGUGGGACUGACUUCCGUGUCGCAUGGAUAAGAGGUAUGAGGAGUUGGUGCAGUACCCAGUCUCCGAGGGCAUGCAAGUGGGAGGGUAUGAAGAGGCGAUGAGGUCAAUGCCACCCCACCACUAUAGCCACACCAUCCCUGACUCCCUCAAACACCACCGUGACCAGAUCUAUGGGUGAGGACCCUCCACUCAUUUUACACCGAUGUACAUUGACAGUAACAUCGAGUGAGUUA